rnacentral:rRNA from 1 species
CCUACGGGAGGCUGCAGUGGGGGAUAUUGCACAAUGGGGGGAACCCUGAUGCAGCGACGCCGCGUGGGUGAAGAAGUGCCUCGGCGCGUAAAGCCCUGUCAGCAGGGAAGAAAAUGACGGUACCUGACGAAGAAGCCCCGGCUAACUACGUGCCAGCAGCCGCGGGCAUACGUAGGGGGCAAGCGUUAUCCGGAUUUACUGGGUGUAAAGGGGGCGCAGACGGCGUUGCAAGCCAGGAGUGAAAGCCCGGGGCCCAACCCCGGGACUGCUCUUGGAACUGCGUGGCUGGAGUGCAGGAGGGGCAGGCGGAAUUCCUGGUGGAGCGGUGAAAUGCGUAGAUAUCAGGAGGACCACCGGUGGCGAAGGCGGCCUGCUGGACUGCAACUGACGUUGAGGCCCGAAAGCGUGGGGAGCAAACAGGAUUAGAUACCCCAGUAGUC